ACUCCUACGGGAGGCAGCAGUGGGAAUAUUGGACAAUGGGGGAAACCCUGAUGCAGCCAUGCCGCGUGUGUGAAGAAGGCCUUCGGGUUGUAAAGCACUUUCAGUAGGGAGGAAGGUAGUGUAGUUAACACCUGCACUAUUUUGACGUUACCUACAGAAGAAGCACCGGCUAACUCCGUGCCAGCAGCCGCGGUAAUACGUAGGUGGCAAGCGUUAUCCGGAAUUAUUGGGCGUAAAGCGCAUGUAGGCGGCUCUUUAAGUCUGAUGUGAAAGCCUGUGGCUCAACCACAGAAUUGCAUUGGAUACUGGAAAGCUAGAAUCUUGGAGAGGUAAGUGGAAUUUCAUGUGUAGCGGUGGAAUGCGUAGAUAUAUGAAGGAACACCAAUGGCGAAGGCAGCUUACUGGACAAGUAUUGACGCUGAGAUGCGAAAGUGUGGUAGCAAACAGGAUUAGAUACCCUGAUAGACUGUCAU
rnacentral:rRNA from 1 species